rnacentral:rRNA from 1 species
GGUGGAGCGAUCUGUCUGGUUAAUUCCGAUAACGAACGAGACUCUCCUCUGCUAAAUAGUCGGCUGGAUCUUGAAUUGCUGAGUUGCUCAUUGCCACGCUUGCUCGCGUCUAGUUUCGGCGUGCCCGGCGUGUGUGUGUGGCUCGUUGUGUGUUGCGUGCCGCUCUUAACGGGGUGUGUGCGUGGGCGCACGGGUUGCGCGUGCGCGUUGUUUGGUGCGUUUGGGGCGGCGCGCUGUUGGGCGUGUGUCUCUGGCACUCCAAGUCCGUCGGCUCACAUCCUGCGCAAGCGGGUUGUGUGGUGCAAGUUCUUCUUAGAGAGAUUGACGGCUCUGAAGCCGUACGAGAAUGAGAGCAAUAACAGGUCUGUGAUGCCCUCAGAUGCCCUGGGCCGCACGCGCGCUACAAUGCUGGACACAGCAGGUCUAGCCUGCUCCGAGAGGAGCGGGUAACCCUGUCAAAGUCCUGAGUUGUGUAUCGGGCAUCACAUACUCGUGGUGCAUUGGGCGUGCUUGGGCCUGGGGCUUGCAAUUCUUUCCCACAAACAAGGAAUGCCUUGUAGUGGCGAGUCACUGAGCUCGCUGUGACUCAGUCCCUGCCCUUUGUACACACCGCCCGUCGCUACUACCGAUUGGGUGUACCAGUGAGAACCUUGGACUGGCGUCCGGUGCCUCGCGCACCUGGGUCUGACGGAAAGAGGUUCGAACUGGUGCACUUAGAGGAAGUAAAAGUCGUAACAAGGUUUCCGUAGGUGAACCUGCGGAAGGAUCAUUA